rfam:Nasonia vitripennis chromosome 1, whole genome shotgun sequence.
CAAUCAGCCCUUUUCAGGGCUACCAAUAUUUUUAAACGUGGACUAU